rnacentral:rRNA from 1 species
UACGGAGGAUCCAAGCGUUAUCCGGAUUUAUUGGGUUUAAAGGGUGCGUAGGCGGAAUGAUAAGUCAGUGGUGAAAGCCUGCAGCUUAACUGCAGAACUGCCAUUGAUACUGUCAAUCUUGAGUACAUUUGAUGUGGGCGGAAUGUGUCAUGUAGCGGUGAAAUGCUUAGAUAUGACACAGAACACCGAUUGCGAAGGCAGCUCACAAAACU